rnacentral:rRNA from 1 species
GACGAACGCUGGCGGCGUGCUUAACACAUGCAAGUCGAACGGAAAGGCCCUGCUUUCGUGGGGUGCUCGAGUGGCGAACGGGUGAGUAACACGUGAGUAACCUGCCCUUGACUUUGGGAUAACUUCAGGAAACUGGGGCUAAUACCGGCUAGGAGCUCCUGCUGCAUGGUGGGGGUUGGAAAGUUUCGGCGGUUGGGGAUGGACUCGCGGCUUAUCAGCUUGUUGGUGGGGUAGUGGCUUACCAAGGCUUUGACGGGUAGCCGGCCUGAGAGGGUGACCGGCCACAUUGGGACUGAGAUACGGCCCAGACUCCUACGGGAGGCAGCAGUGGGGAAUAUUGCACAAUGGGCGGAAGCCUGAUGCAACAACGCCGCGUGCGGGAUGACGGCCUUCGGGUUGUAAACCGCUUUCGCCUGUGACGAAGCGUGAGUGACGGUAAUGGGUAAAGAAGCACCGGCUAACUACGUG